UACGGAGGGUGCGAGCGUUGUCCGGAAUCAUUGGGCGUAAAGCGCGUGUAGGCGGCCCGGUAAGUCCGCUGUGAAAGUCGGGGGCUCAACCCUCGGAAGCCGGUGGAUACUGUCGGGCUCGAGUACGGAAGAGGCGAGUGGAAUUCCUGGUGUAGCGGUGAAAUGCGCAGAUAUCAGGAGGAACACCAAUUGCGAAGGCAGCUCGCUGGGACGUUACUGACGCUGAGACGCGAAAGCGUGGGGAGCAAACAGG
rnacentral:rRNA from 1 species